GCUGUGGGUCUCUUACAUUAUGUGGAGAGGACAGACAGACGGACGGGCGGACGGGUGCGGAGAGAACAGCGUCUCCCUUUGAGCCCAUUUGUCCCCUGAGAACCACGUGGCCCCCCAGACGCCGUUCUGUUUCUGGGGAGGGAAGGCGAGAGAAAGAUUGAUAGCAGAGAGAGAGGGGAUGACAUGCUGCGAAGGGCCUGGGCCGGAUCCGAACCCAAGCCGCUACGACAAGGACCCAGCCCCAUGGGGUACCAGUGCAUACCUCCACCUCUCCAGUCUCUCCUCAACCUGCACCCUACUCUCACUACAGAUCACAAUGUCAUCCAUGAACAUCAUAAUCCACGGAGACUCCUGCCUGAUCUCGUCCGUCAACCUGUCCAUCACCAGUGCAAACAAGAAAGGGCUCAGAGCCGAUCCUUGAUGUAAUCCCACCUCCACCUUGAACCCAUCUGUCAUUCCAACCGCACACCUCACCAUUGUCUCACUUCCCUCAUACAUAUCCUGCAUCACUCUUACAUACUUUUCUGCCACUCCUGACUUCCUCAUACAAUACCACACCUCCUCUCUUGGCACCCUGUCGUAUGCUUUCUCUAAAUCCACAAAGACACAUUGUAACUCCUUCUGGCCUUCUCUAUACUUCUCAAUCAACAUUCUCAAUCAUGUAUCUAAGUAAUCUGCUAACAUAUUGUAACGUGCAUGGAUAAAAGUUGCGUUGUCCCCCCGAAUUCGCUACAAUAUGUUUAUUCCAGCAUAUUUGCACUCUGCACCAUUGCACUAUUGCCUUCCUGUCUUACCUGCAUAUACUCAUUCCUUGUAUAUAUAUAUCUAUAUCUAUAUAUAUAUCUAUAUAUAUAUACAUAUAUAUAUAUAUAUACAUACAUAUAUAUCUAUAUCUAUAGGUAUAGAUAUAUCCCUGAAGAUUGUUGUUGUUAUUCUGUGUAAGUACAUUG